rnacentral:misc_RNA from 1 species
AACGGUCUAUACCUGCGGUACCUGCGGAGGGAUCAUUAGUGAACGCCCUCGCGGGCUUAUAACUAUUCCAAACCUCUGUGAACCGUGCCCUUCGGGGCUAUUUUACAAACAUGGUGUAAUGAACGUCAUAUAUCAUAACAAAACAAAACUUUCAACAAUGGAUCUCU